UCCGGUUUGUCACCGGCAGUCUCGCAUGAGUCCCCAACUAAAUGCUGGCAACAUGCGACGAGGGUUGCGCUCGUUGCGGGACUUAACCCAACAUCUCACGACACGAGCUGACGACAACCAUGCACCACCUGUCACUCUGCCCCCGAAGGGGAAGCCCUAUCUCUAGGGGUGUCAGAGGAUGUCAAGACCUGGUAAGGUUCUUCGCGUUGCUUCGAAUUAAACCACAUGCUCCACCGCUUGUGCGGGCCCCAGUCAAUUCCUUUGAGUUUCAGCCUUGCAGCCGUACUCCCCAGGCGAAGUGCUUAAUGCGUUUGCUGCAGCACUAAAGGGCGGAAACCCUCUAACACUUAGCACUCAUCGUUUACGGCGUGGACUAC
rnacentral:misc_RNA from 1 species